rnacentral:lncRNA from 1 species
GAGCUCAAAUUAAUGAAGUCCAGGUUCAAAUGAAUCAGCCCAUGUAUGAUAUUCAGCAAGACUUCUUCAUUUAUGGUAGAUUUGGCCUAAGUGUCAUCAACAGCUCUCAUCUUCUACUUGAAUGAUAUUGAUGACUUCUUGUGAAUCUUCUUGUGAAUUGCUCAAGCCCAACUUUAUAGCUGUAGAUCCACUCGAAGCUUGCCUAGCCCAUAUAUUUAGAACAA